UCUUCCUUGGUCUAACGGUCAUGAUUUCCGCUUGUCAUCCCAAAAGGAACAAGCGCGGGAGACCGGGGUUCGACUCCCCGAGGGAGAG
rfam:Aspergillus nomius NRRL 13137 contig00284, whole genome shotgun sequence.